CCUACGGGCGGCAGCAGUGAGGAAUAUUGGUCAAUGGCCGGAAGGCUGAACCAGCCAUGCCGCGUGAAGGUCAGUGCCCUAUGGGCGUUAAACUUCUUUUGUGCGGGAGCAAUAAUGGUCACGUGUGGCCAGACGAGAGUACCGUACGAAUAAGCAUCGGCUAACUCCGUGCCAGCAGCCGCGGUAAUACGGGGGAUGCAAGCGUUAUCCGGAUUUAUUGGGUUUAAAGGGUGCGUAGGCUGUGAGGUAAGUCAGCGGUGAAAUGCCCCCGCUCAACGGGGUGAAGUGCCAUUGAUACUGCCUGGCUGGAAUGCGGAUGCCGUGGGAGGAAUGUGUGGUGUAGCGGUGAAAUGCAUAGAUAUCACACAGAACACCGAUUGCGAAGGCAUCUCACGAAGCCGCGAUUGACGCUGAUGCACGAAAGCGUGGGUAUCAAACAGGAUUAGAUACCCGGGUAGUC
rnacentral:rRNA from 1 species